GGGGGGGGUGGGGGGGGUGGGGAGGGGGGCAUGUGGACGACCUUCGCCUGGCUCAGGGUUUUCCUUGUGAUGCUUCCGGUGACCCCCCCCCCUCCACAAACACACACACACUUCCUUGACUGGCCGAGAGCUAUUUUCAGAUGGUGAGGGUAUCCACUCAAAACUGUCCCAGAGAGAGCACCCUUCAAAGUGCCCUUCCCGAAUUGCCCUUAUGACCAAGGAAAAAGCACACAGGUUGACAUCACGAGGUACCGCCCUAGAGCACACAGGCCUGCUCAUAGCAGCAGCUGCCACCGUCCGUUCGUGGACCUCAGGCCCCCAUCCGUGUGCAGACACCUUCAAGUAGAGGGACAAUCGCACAGGAAUGGAAAGGCGGCCGCUGUCGCAGGGGUGAUUGAUCUGAAGCUCUCUUCUGUCCUGAUGCUUAAGUGUCUUGAGCCAAAGGCGUAAACACAGCCAACUUUGGCCCAGCAGAGAGAUUUGAACGGAGCCCUCCCAGCGGCACAGGACAAAUACGUCUUCUGAGGGACGACGCGCCCAGAUUUGCUGACCGGAGCAUCCGUGUUAUUGGAGGAAAGCCCGGGAGAGCCAAGUGUCAUCUCGAACGUGCUGAAUCUAGCUCCGCUCUUACAAGGGGACCUGGGCUUUGUCACUGGAUUAUUUUCUGCCAGCUGCCACCCACGAAUAAGCAAACAAUGGCUCAUCGAGCACAUUCUCCCACGGCAGGCUCCUCAGCCGGCCAGACACCAGCCUCAGCGUGUUCCUCAACCAUGUGCCAGACGUGCCCAGAGAGGUUUGCCCACCACCAGUGGACACCCUGUGGGCCCGUGCUGGGAUCCUUCCUGCUCACGCGUGACACUUGGCAGAAUGUCCUUGGUUCAUAUUAAGCACGGUAUUAAAACAUCCUUUUUUAAAAAAGUUUAUUCAUCAAGAGAGAGAGGGAG
rnacentral:lncRNA from 1 species